AGAAAGUCAUAUGGCACAAAGUCAAAGGGGGCAUUGAGUGAGUCCAGGUUUCCUUCACGUGUCUUGUAUCAAAGCUAAGAUCUAUCAUGUGAUCAACAGAUAAGGGUAGAGAAAGAACAGCUAAUUAUUUGAAAAAAGAAUGAACAUAAAAAAUAAUAAUGGCAGAAGAAAAUUUAUAAUGGUUGUGGUUAGCAGUUGCUAUUGAUAAACAUGGCUACAGCCACCCAAUCAUUUCCAACUAUAGUGCCAUG
rnacentral:misc_RNA from 1 species